rnacentral:rRNA from 1 species
GACGAACGCUGGCGGCGUGCCUAAUACAUGCAAGUUGAGCGCAGAGGCGUGGUACUUGUACCGACUGGGUUAGCAGCGGACGGGUGAGUAACGCGUGGGUAAUCUGCCUUUAAGCGGGGGACAACAUUUGGAAACGAAUGCUAAUACCGCAUAAAAACUUUAACCACAAGUUUCAAGAUUGAAAGGUGCAAUUGCAUCACCUAAAGCAUAUCCCGCGUUUUAUUAGCUAGUUGGUGAGGUAAAGGCUCACCAAGGCAAAGAUACAUAGCCGACCUGAGAGGGUGAUCGGCCACAUUGGGACUGAGACACGGCCCAGACUCCUACGGGAGGCAGCAGUAGGGAAUCUUCGGCAAUGGGCGAAAGCCUGACGGAGCAACGCCGCGUGAGUGAUGAAGGUCUUCGGAUCGUAAAACUCUGUUGGUAGGGAAGAACGUUGGUGAGAGUGGAAGGCUCAACAAGGGAGGGAACCAACCAGGAAACGGACGCUAACCUACGG